rnacentral:rRNA from 1 species
AGUGAACGCUGGCGGUAGGCCUAACACAUGCAAGUCGAACGGCAGCACAGUAAGAGCUUGCUCUUACGGGUGGCGAGUGGCGGACGGGUGAGGAAUACAUCGGAAUCUACUUUUUCGUGGGGGAUAACGUAGGGAAACUUACGCUAAUACCGCAUACGACCUACGGGUGAAAGCAGGGGAUCUUCGGACCUUGCGCGAUUGAAUGAGCCGAUGUCGGAUUAGCUAGUUGGCGGGGUAAAGGCUCACCAAGGCGACGAUGCGUAGCUGGUCUGAGAGGAUGAUCAGCCACACUGGAACUGAGACACGGUCCAGACUCCUACGGGAGGCAGCAGUGGGGAAUAUUCGACAAUGGGCGCAAGCCUGAUCCAGCCAUACCGCGUGAGUGAAGAAGGCCUUCGGGUUGUAAAGCCCUGUUGUUGGGAAAGAAAAGCAGCAUGUGAAUCCCCCGCUGUCCUGACGGUACCCAAAGAAUAAGCACCGGCUAACUUCGUG